rnacentral:rRNA from 1 species
UACGAAGGGGGCUAGCGUUGCUCGGAAUCACUGGGCGUAAAGCGCACGUAGGCGGAUUGUUAAGUCAGGGGUGAAAUCCUGGAGCUCAACUCCAGAACUGCCUUUGAUACUGGCGAUCUCGAGUCCGGGAGAGGUGAGUGGAACUGCGAGUGUAGAGGUGAAAUUCGUAGAUAUCGGGAGGAACACCGGUGGCGAAGGCGGCAUCCUGGACCAACACUGACACUGAGGAGCGAAAGCCAGGGGAGCAAACGGG